UCAGAAAGAAAAGAAACAAAAAUUUUAUGCAAACAUUUUUCUUUUAAUUUUAAUUCUAAAUGUUGAUAAUUAAAAGAAAAAAUUAAUUAUUUUAUACAAAAACACUUAAAUUAUACUGCAACUUCAAAUUCCAGUUAAAAAUUCCGUUAUUUUAAGUUUUAAUAGUUUUGGCCAAGAAAAGUGAUGUUUCCGACCAUAGUGCGCUAUGACGAAAAAUAGCAUAUACGAUAUAUACAAUACCCUGAAGAAAGUUGUUACUUUUCUGCUAUUCGCUAUUGUGAUCGUAAUUCACAGGUUCGAACUGCUAUCGUAAAUCACAGGUUCGAACUGCGAUCACAGUUUCGAACUGCGAUCGCAAUCACUGUUUCGCACUGCGAUCACAGUUUCGAACUGCGAUCACAAUUCACACAAGUCAGAGUGGGAGCUAUGUUGCCUGGUUGAGCUCCUGACCGUAGAGGUCCUCGGUUGGCCACUCUGAUUGAGUGGCGGCACGGCGCGCGAACUAUGUGCAGAUUUUACAGCCGUAGAGGCUUGUGUCGCAGUAUUGCGCAGGCAACAUGGGGCCACGUAUCGCGUGGUCCACUCCCUGUGGGUCUUAAGGCCUGAACAGGUCUUAAGAUGGCUCCAUCCAUUGCAUGUGUUACACCUGACCAAGGUGGAGUUUCGAUGGAGCCUUUUAGCGCAGACGCAGCAGAAAAAUUCCUCCGGGCCCGGGUUGGACUCAAUGCCAGCACGAGUCAGGAGGAUACGGAGCAACCCUGCUGCAAGGCGUUGCUCCAAUGACGACUCACACAAAUUAGUACUCACCGAUCCAAACGGGGUUAGAUCGCCGAAAAAACAGCCCAUGGUCGGAUGAAAUCCGAGUCAUUUCCAGUGCGUAGAACCGGCUGUCGUGGGAAUUGUACAGAUAUUAUGUUACAGAUAUUAUGUGUUGCCAUAAUUACACAUUUAUCAAACGAAUAAGAAUGAAUAAAAAACUCAAACGCAGGAAACAAACACCAUCUG